UACGGAGGGUGCAAGCGUUAAUCGGAAUUACUGGGCGUAAAGCGCACGUAGGUGGUUUGCUAAGUCAGCUGUGAAAUCUCCGGGCUCAACCUGGGCACUGCAGUUGAAACUGGCAGGCUUGAGUGUGGCAGAGGAGGGUGGAAUUCCGCGUGUAGCAGUAGAAAUGCGUAGAGAUGCGGAGGAACACCGAUGGCGCAAGGCGAGCCCUCUGGGCCA
rnacentral:rRNA from 1 species